UACGGAGGGAGCGAGCGUUGUCCGAAGUUACUGGGCGUAAAGCGCGCGUAGGCGGGGGAUUAAGUGAGAAGUGAAAGGCUGAGGCUCAACCUCAUGCAGUGCUUCUCAUACUGGUCCUCUUGAGGGUGGUAGAGAGAAGUGGAAAUGGCUGGUGUAGCGGUGAAAUGCGUAGAUACUCAAGUCGGAACACCGGUGGCGAGGCGGCUCUUGGGCCAAUUUCUGACGCUGAGGCGCGAAGCUAGGGAGCGAACGGGA
rnacentral:rRNA from 1 species